GUGCACAUUUCAUCAACCUGUUUCCAUUUAUAUGGGAAGAGUGUUAUAUUCUAUGUGCUAACCAAGUAGUUGGAGGUUAAUUAGCAGCUUAACUAAAUGUGUAGUAAUGCUGCCAGCCUCCUUCAUACAAAU